AGAACACCCAGGACCUCUCCUUCCUCCCCUACUUGGGCUGCUCACCUGAGUCGGACUCACAGAGGCAGAAUCCUUCAUCCAGCUUGGUAGCACAAUGUCAAGACAUCAGGAUAACCAGGCCGUGGCACCUGCUAGCCCUGCCGACAGCCAAAGAUGACAAGUGAAAAAGCAUACGCUCUCCCCAGUGAGGGAGGAGUAGCCUCCAGAUCCAGAGACAACAAAACCUAUACCGAAUCUAAACCUUCAAAACAGAGGAAAAAAAAAAAAAGAUGUGGGGAAGAUGUCAGAUUGACCUCCUUUCUUUUCUGUUAACCUUUCCCCCUGGAGAGCCCUUCUCAAGAGACCUGAGAAAGAGAAAAGCAACCCCCUGAAGCAGACAACUGGUCUGGUACUGUCUGGUACCAGACAGUGAGCAUGUCUCCUCCUGGUGAGCACAAAAAUUUCACAGCACAUCCACUUCAAGCAAGGCCACUCUGUGAGCAUGAUGGAUCAAGACAAAAGAUAGGACCACUCUACAAUCAUGUCUGAACACAGACAAAACAUGAACAUUGUCCAAACCACAAAAAUGACCAAACAUUCCCCACCUAUCUAAAUUAGCGUCAAGACACUCAAUUGUAGAAUUAUGAACCCUACUUGCUGAUAGCAUCCAAUUUAGAGUAAAGCCCCACCUUCUUCAGCCCUCUUUAAAAUCACCUAACACAAGCCCAAUCCUUUCUAGUAAGUCUUUUCUAACCUUUCUGACAGCUUCUCAGCGAGACA